GGACCCGCACAAGUGGUGGAGCGUGUUCUUUAAUACGAGGCUAAGCGUAGAACCUUACCAGGGUUUGAAAUCCCGAGAAGUCUUUCGAAAGUUAGAUGUGCCUUAUGGAACUCGGUGACAGGUGUUGCAUGGCCGUCGUCAGCUCGUGUCGUGAGAUGUUGGGUUAAGUCCCGCAACGAGCGCAACCCCUAUAUUUAGUUGUAUUUUUCUAGAUAGACUGCCUCGGUAACGGGGAGGAAGGAGGGGACGACGUCUGGUCAUUAUGGCCCUUAUACCCUGGGCUAGAAACGCGCUACAAUGGUCGGUACAAUGGGCAUCAGCCAAAUCGCGAGAUGGAGCAAAUCCCAACAAAGCCGAUCUCAGUUCGGAUAGCAGGCUGAAACUCGCCUGCUUGAAGUCGGAAUCACUAGUAACCGUAGGUCAGCACACUACGGUGAAUACGUUCCCGGGUCUU
rnacentral:rRNA from 1 species